AACGCUGGCGGCAGCCUACACAUGCAAGUCUAGCGCCCGGGCAACCGGGAGCGGCGCACCGGUGAGUAACACGUGGGAACGUGCCUAUCGGUUCGGAAUAACUCACUGGAAACUUGAUCUAAUACCGAAUACGCCCCAAGGGGGAAAGAUUUAUCGCCGAUAGAGCGGCCCGCGUCCGAUUAUCUAGUUGGUGAGGUAAAAGCUCACCAAGGCAACGAUCGGUAGCUGGUUUGAGAGAACGAUCAGCCACACUGGGACUGAGACACGGCCCAGACUCCUACGGGAGGCAGCAGUGGGGAAUCUUGGACAAUGGGGGAAACCCUGAUCCAGCCAUGCCGCGUGAGUGAUGAAGGCCUUCGGGUUGUAAAACUCUUUCGGCGGGGACGAUAAUGACGGUACCCGCAGAAGAAGCUCCGGCUAACUUCGUGCCAGCAGCCGCGGUAAUACGAAGGGGGCUAGCGUUGUUCGGAAUUACUGGGCGUAAAGCGCGCGCAGGCGGUCUUUUAAGUCAGGGGUGAAAGCCCAGAGCUCAACUCUGGAAUUGCCCUUGAAACUAGAAGACUUGGGUACGGGAGAGGUGAGUGGAAUUCCCAGUGUAGAGGUGAAAUUCGUAGAUAUUCGGAAGAACACCAGUGGCGAA
rnacentral:rRNA from 1 species